rnacentral:rRNA from 1 species
UACGUAGGGGGCUAGCGUUGUCCGGAUUUAUUGGGCGUAAAGAGCGUGUAGGCGGCCAGGUAGGUCUGGUGUGAAAACUCGAGGCUUAACCUCGAGAUGUCAUCGGAAACCAUCUGGCUAGAGUCCGGGAGGGGAGAGCGGAAUUCCUAGUGUAGCGGUGAAAUGCGCAGAUAUUAGGAAGAACACCGGUGGCGAAGGCGGCUCUCUGGAACGGUACUGACGGCUGAGACG